UCCGACUUAACGUCGGCAGUCCCUUUAGAGUGCCCAACUAAAUGCUGGCAACUAAAGGCAAGGGUUGCGCUCGUUGCGGGACUUAACCCAACAUCUCACGACACGAGCUGACGACAGCCAUGCAGCACCUGUGUAUCGACUCUUGCGAGCGACCGUAUUUCUACGAGUCUUCCAAUACAUGUCAAAUCUAGGUAAGGUUCUUCGCGUUGCAUCGAAUUGAACCACAUGCUCCACCGCUUGUGCGGGCCCCCGUCAAUUUCUUUGAGUUUUAAUCUUGCGACCGUACUUCCCAGGCGGGAUACUUAACGCGUUAGCUUCGGCACUGAAGGGGUCAAUACCUCCAACACCAAGUAUCCAUAGUUUAAGGCGUGGACUAC
rnacentral:misc_RNA from 1 species